AUUGAACGCUGGCGGCAUGCCUUACACAUGCAAGUCGAACGGCAGCACGGGUGCUUGCACCUGGUGGCGAGUGGCGAACGGGUGAGUAAGAUAUCGGAACGCACCUUAUAGUGGGGGAUAACGCAGCGAAAGCUGUGCUAAUACCGCAUAAUCCCUAAGGGGGAAAGCGGGGGACCGUAAGGCCUCGCGCAAGUAGAGCGGCUGAUACCUGAUUAGCUAGUUGGUGAGGUAAAGGCUCACCAAGGAAACGAUCAGUAGCUGGUCUGAGAGGACGAUCAGCCACACUGGGACUGAGACACGGCCCAGACUCCUACGGGAGGCAGCAGUGGGGAAUUUUAGACAAUGGGGGCAACCCUGAUCCAGCAAUGCCGCGUGAGUGAAGAAGGCCUUCGGGUUGUAAAGCUCUUUUGUCAGGGAAGAAACAGCAGCUCUAACACAGUUUGCGAAUGACGGUACCUGAAGAAUAAGCACCGGCUAACUACGUGCCAGCCGCCGCAGUAA
rnacentral:rRNA from 1 species